UACGUAGGGUGCAAGCGUUGUCCGGAAUUAUUGGGCGUAAAGAGCUCGUAGGCGGUUUGUCGCGUCUGCUGUGAAAACCCGAGGCUCAACCUCGGGCCUGCAGUGGGUACGGGGCAGACUAGAGUGCGGUAGGGGAGAUUGGAAUCCUGGUGUAGCGGUGGAAUGCGCAGAUAUCAGGAGGAACACCGGUGGCGAAGGCGG
rnacentral:rRNA from 1 species